rnacentral:misc_RNA from 1 species
UUUCCGUAGGUGAACCUGCGGAAGGAUCAUUCAUAAUAAGUGUUUUAUGGCACUUUUUUAAAUCCAUAUCCACCUUGUGUGCAAUGUCAGGGUUGAUCUUUCUCUCGAGAGGAUCAACCCCAAACAUCAACUAUAUCUCAACUCUUUGUCUGAAAAAUAUUAUGAAUAAAACAAUUCAAAAUACAACUUUCAACAACGGAUCUCUUGGCUCUC